rnacentral:rRNA from 1 species
UACGUAGGGUGCGAGCGUUGUCCGGAAUUAUUGGGCGUAAAGCGCGCGUAGGCGGCUACUUAAGUCGGAUGUGAAAGCCCUUGGCUCAACUGAGGAAGUGCACCCGAAACUGAGUGGCUAGAGUACGAAAGAGGGUCGCGGAAUUCCCGGUGUAGAGGUGAAAUUCGUAGAUAUCGGGAGGAACACCGGUGGCGAAGGCGGCGACCUGGGUCGAUACUGACGCUGAUGCGCGAAAGCGUGGGGAGCAAACAGG